CCCAAUAAAGUUCCAUUAAAGCGUGCUGUUAAUCUCACAGUAAGAUCAUGAAGUGUGUGACUUAUGCUCCACUCUAAAACAUACCACUCCCAUCAAAGGAACUCUACAUUUUGUGAUAGUGGUAUGAACUAUUUCUUUUGCUGGACAGACAUCCUGUUGCCAAUUGCCAAGCCACGGCUCCAGAACUGGCUGCAAAGGAUGGUUUACUUGCCCUCCCAGACACAGGAAAAGAUCUGUACUAUGCAUGCUGAUUGAAGUAUGGACUAACAUCUAGCUGAGGAAAAUAUAGCAGACUCUUCACUGCUUACAGAACCUGCACAUGUCUCUGCAGCAGUCUUCAAAAGAAUUUUCAUUCAUUGCAAUGUAACCACAGGAUACACCAGAUCAAAUAUAGAUGUGAAAUAACAUCCACUAAGACUGAAGACAUUUAAGUUAUCUGAUUUAAAGAGACUGGAUGUCAUACAACUGCAUGAAGAAUAAAGAUAACAUAUAGUUCCAUACCUGAUCUGUUAAAAGUAUGGACACAGGAGAACAGAUCAACUGGAAGUACAAGUCAAACCUACAGAGCCAAAACUGGAUUGUCAUUGCAUGUAGCUGCGUGCUAAGAAACAUGCAGUGUGAAGAAGCAGCCUUGUUCUGGACCAUACAAACCAUCAGAGGUUGUUCUGCAGCAUUCCCAUGACAGGAACAAUGGAGAGGUGUAACAAGGCAUAGCCUAAGAGCUGAGGGGCAUGGGUCAAACAUUUAGGUACAUACAGUCCCUGACCUGUCAAUGACUUCAACACUCAACCCUCUACACAAUUUCUCCCUGCUCUUUCACAGGGAGAGAGAACUGUGCCUUAGGAUGGCAGAGGUCAGAAUAUGGGCACAUAUAUCCUACAAAAGCAGCAUUAACAUGUGUUCAUCUAGAGGUAUAUCAGGCCUGUUUCAGGUACCAGACAGGACUUGACGAGUGGUACAAGAUGUCUAAAUGUUUUAAUGCAAUGGAAUGCCUUGAAGUUCUUCACAGGAAUUUCAUGAUUAAAUAAAAUUAGAAAUAGAUUUAUAAUCUUUAUCUUCUCUAUUCUCACAAUACAAAAUAUGUUAGAAAGGUCUAAAUGAACAAGUCCCAAAGAUACAGUCCUGGGAAUUUAUAAUCCACACCAGUUCAGUACAUGGCUGCCCCUGUUAACUUUCUCCUAUUUCCUGCCAGACAUCCAGACAAUAAAAGAAUUUGUACAGCUGGAAGUAUUAGAAUAAAAGCCAAAAAAGCAGUGUAAGGACUUUCUAGGGUGAGGCAUGCUCAAAAAGAAGCAAGCAACAUCUGGGUGGAUUUUACAAUUUGAACUAAAUGCAAAUGUAUCUCCAAAAUUGUUUAAAAUGUACAAUAGGGCAUUUUAAUUUGGGCAUUUUAAACGGCACGGGAUGCCGUUUUCUCCAGGUUAGAUGAAUGUAGCUCAAAAGACGAGACAUACAAAAUGAACCUAAUGCCAACAAACUGAAGUAAAAAAAAAAAGAAUUAAGAUAAGCAGAGAGAACAUCAUCCUCACAGGUUUGAUUUUCUGUUUGUCUAUCUCGAGUACAGUUUGAAACAGAACAAACCCCUUCUCAGAGGUGCAGUGUGUGUAUAGAGAAACACCACUAUCCAGUCAAAUGAAGGAGCUGCUGGCGGUGAAAAAUUCAUUAAGAACCUGGCUGCUCUCUCACAUGACCUAAGUUACUAAUGCACUUACUUGAACAUCAUACACUCAGUGAACCAUAAAGUAAUGUAUCUGACAUCGUUUUUCCAUUCUUCCCACGUACAGCAGAGAAUGGCUUAGGACAGGUUAUACAAAGCAAUGUAACUCAAUCAAGAUUAAGCCAUUAAUAAUUUUAGCAGCUCUUGGUGAAGCUUUGCAUCUAGCUUACCUUGACAGGCUCCUGUGCGAAUAUUUGGAAUGAAACCCCGGCGGCAGGGAUGAGGCUGAGCUGGACACAUUUCACAGGGGUGGCCCCAUGCUCUCCCAACUGUUGCACAGCAAAGGGUUUUUGUACAGACUAUUCCAGUGAGCUGUCCCUGGCACAUCUGAUUGGUUACCAGUGUGAAGCAUGGGCCAGUCCUAUAAUCUGAACCAAAGAAAGGAAAGACAUUACAUAACUCAUAAUAAAGCAGAGCUGGGUAAAUAAUUCAGAACUAAUAAUUUACCCCAUACAAAUCCCAAAAAAUCCCUCUUUCCAACAUAGUGAUUAUCCAUGGGCACAUAAUUUCUCUCAAGUUUAUUUUUAAUUGUCAAUAUAUUUGAAUACGAAAUAAACAUCUCUGUGGAUUGAUCACGAUUACUUUACCAUGAAUAUUUGAUAUUCAAGAUGCUCCAAGUCUCCUCAUAAUUUUCAGGACUAAAUGUAAGCCCCGUUUCUUUGGCUUAGCUUUCUUACCAUUGCUCUUCAUAGAGCCUACAUAUGUUUGGGUGAGAGGUAGAAGUGAGAAGAAGAAAAAUAAUUCCACUACUUUUUAAGGUAUUCCUGCACAUGAUGAGGAGUGAGAGUUUUGUUGUUUUCUUUUAUUUAACGGGAGAUGCUCAGAUAUUAUCAUGAUGAGGCAUACCUCUGUAAAAUGGUAGACGCUCAAACUUAUUUGUAACUGGUCAGAUAAGUCAGAUGGUAUUGUUUGUUCCUUAAGGGGACGCAUCUUUGCAUGGGUACGUUUAAAAUCAGUCUCCAGAGUUAUUCACCAAUGCAGCUAAGCAGGUCCCAUUCUGUAAAUGGCUGUGUCAGUAAAAUUCAACCCCACAACUGUACACAGAAAGCCAACACUAUAAUGCACAUGAGCAUGGCUGAAGCUAGUUCAGUUACAAAUUUGAUUGAAUAUUUGUGUGCCUUUUUUGCUUAAUGCAUGCCUUUAUUUCAGAUGGCCCCAGAAGGAAAACCCCUCCUUAAACUGAAUGACUCGCACAGUUUGGGGAAGCUAAGCUCUAGAUUUGGAUCCACUUUGCAGCUUGGGAUCAUAUCUAGUAAUAACAUCAGUGAGGUCUUUUCAUCAAAUUGACUGAAGUUUGUUUUAAUAUUUAGCACAGUACUUAAAAUUACACUGAUAAAAGAGGUUCUGUUUGUUUCCACAACUGUUGUUUUUAAACGGGUCUCAAGGGUAUGUAGUCUACAUGAAGUUUAUUAAGCAUAAUUUUCACGGUUACACAGACAUGUUCCGUACCAAGCAUAUGGGUAAACUUUGCCUACAGCUGGACUGAAGGCAUGUGGAAUAUGUCUACUUUGAUUUGUUUAUGGUAGAACAGGCCAUUUAUCCAACAGACAGAAUUAAACUGGGAUGUUAAUAAAAUAUUAGUAGCCUUUAUUUUGUUCCAUUCUCCCACGGCAACAACAAAAUAGCAACACCAAUUCCUGCUGUCUCUGGGACAUGCCAGACUCCACUCGUCAAAUAAAAUUUUCAUCUUUUUACAGAAGAUUCAUCACUCCCCGCUUCCCCCCCUCACCUUUGAAUGGAAAAAUCUAGAGGCCAAUAAAAAGGAUUAGUAAAAAGAUUAAUUUGGAUGCUCAUGUUAACAUGUGUUCACAGAGAAACCCAUGCGUUUUUCAGCUCCAGUUUCUCAUAGAAGGGCCUGAUCCAAUGCCCUGAGGUCAAUAAGACUCUUAUCACUAACAUCAGUCGGCUUUGGAUCAGAUCCUAAUAAUAUAUGCUGAUACAGUACAAGGUGAAUGCUUAGGAGAAAAAAAGGUGAAAUGAGUUCCAUUCAAAAUAUUAGAAGAAACUGUAAUUGUAGAACAGGUAAAGACAUUAUAAAAUCACAGAUAUGUAGGGCUAGAAGGGACCUCAAAAGGCCAUCUAGUCUAGGCCCGUCCCCAUGCAGAGGCCGGACAAAGUAUACCUAACACAUACAAACUUGUGUGUGUGUCCCCCGCUCUCCUGCUGGUAAGAGCUCACCUUACCUGAUCACUCUCAUUACACUAUGUACGGUAACACCCACUGUUUCAUAUUCUCUGUGUAUAUAAAUCUCCCCACUGUAUUUUCCACUGAAUGCAUCCAAUGAAGUGAGCUGUAGCUCAUGAAAGCUUAUGCUCAAAUAAAUUUGUUAGUCUCUAAGGUGCCACAAGUACUCCUUUUCUUUUUGUGAAUACAGACUAACAUGGCUGCUACUCUGAAACCUAUACUUAUAUCACUCACACUAUUUACAUUCCUUUAAAAUAACAUGUUUGGCUUUGUAAAUCAUGCUGAUUUCAAGAGGUUAUAAAUCCUGGGCAUUCUUCUACAAGAACUCAGCUCUCACUGACUUGGGUCUUGAUCCCGCAAACUCUUCCUCACAUUCCAUCCGAGCUCAAGUCAAGUCAAUGCAGCUACUUCAAUGAGCAAAGGGUCUGCAUGAUCAAGCCCUUAGUUAGGAUUUGAGAGUAAAGCUAGUUGAAAAAUGCCAGGUAAAAAAUAAGAAAAAAAUUCAAAAGUUUUCAUUGAAAAUUUUCACUUAAAUUUUUGAAAAAUAUGACCCUUUUUAUAAGCUGCUUGAAAAACAGAAGAAAAAACCACCCUUUUAAAAUAUAUUUUAAUUUUGCAAACAUUUGCUGUUGAAAACACAAACAUUUUCACCUAACUCUAGUUGAUGGGACUCAGCACUUCACUACAGAUGCUCACCAGAUUGUUGGAUAGGGCCUUAUUCAUUUCAUGGGCAUUCCACAAUUGUAUACAUUCUUUCAUGUAUCUACUAGUUAUUUGCAUAAGCCAGUUCCAAUGACAGUUUGUCUCAGAACAUGCCUGCCCUGUAGCACUCCCUCCUGACCUAGUGUGGUGUCAUAGACACUCGUUGCCUUAGUUUCCCUUCUCUCAGGGCCCCUUAAGAAUUCCACCCCAUCCAAAUGGGUAUAAGAUGUAGAACCCCAGCAGGGGUAUUGUUUUAUUAAAUUCAAAUCAACCUGAAAAAAAAUCUCUCCCCUUGGGUUCAGGGGGUUAUACAGUCCCAUUUUUGGGGGGGCUUGAACUUCUCUGGGAGCGACUUUCCCUUAGGAGAGCUUCUCUUUGUGUGAGCACCUACCUGCAACUGAGUCUUGAUAGCCUUUUAUCAGGCUCCGGUGCUCGUUCUUCCAUUAACUGCCUAUAUAGGCUCAAUCUCCUUAAAUGAGCUUGUCAUAGGUUCAGGCUUGCCUUAAAGGGAGUUCAUAAAAGGAUGGCAACUGUAACAGCACUUGUGCUCUCAGACAUUGUCACAAAAAGAAUACUGAAAUCAAUGGAGUUAGGCCAAUUUACAUGAGCUGAAGAUCUGGCCCAUUAAGUCACAGGGAAGGAAUGAGGUUGUGUUGCAAUGGGUCUCUCCUGCUCUGACUACAGCACCUAGACAAUUGUAUGUAUUUCUUUAAAAGAUUCCUUGUGUUCAUCAAGCCACCACAUUGGCUUCUGAAAUACGUACCGUUGACAGACUUGGACCAAAAUGCAGCACCGUGAUAAAUAUCGAUAAUUGGUCCAAGUACAGACUGGAUGGCAUUGCCCAAUGCGACUCAGAGCAUUAGGCCAUCUGCAACAACUACAACACCUGGAUAUGCAUCACCCUGGGGUCUUUAAGUGCUCAAAUAACAUUAUUCUUGAUGUCUGCAAGUACAGUUUGUCUUUCUUAAAUGUAAACGUAUUGUUUAAAAGUAAAUUUUAAAUGACUGGAGCAUUGAUUUUAAAAUUCAAAUCAGUCUAAGGACCAGAGGUGAAAUCCUGCUUGCCUUACUCACAGGAGUUACCAUCCUUAAGUUGGCGGGAAUUCUCAUGCAGAGACUUUGCCCCAGCCUUAGAGGACAAUGGUUCAAACUAAGGGCCUCAUCCUGCAUUAUACUUGAUGACAGUCCAUGUAGAUGUGUGGAUAGUUUCAGGAAUGGCUGAUAGCUAAAGCCGCCAGACCCGCCUCCAAUUUUAUGUUAGGACCACUGAUUUAAAAACCAUCUGUACAAGUAAAGACCCCUUUUCCACAUUGGGGCUCUGAUUAUAAAGUACUAGAGCCCUUCAAAAUCAAUAUACAAUUUCACAAGGAAAUACCGCCACUGAUGUUCAUUGGAGUCACAUGUAUCUAAAUGCACAUGAACGGCUUUGAAAAUUACCUUUAUAUUUUAGUUGAAGAUGAGACUAAGAAGACUUAAGUCAUACUAAAGAAGUAAACUGGGAGAAGGAGUUUGCUUUAGUCCAUUGUGAAGCAGGGUGGAGAAAGAAGAGGAUUGUACACUUUAGAGCACUAGGUAGAAAAACGAAGUCUACAAAGGUCAGAGUAAAUGAAAUAUUCCAUGUACUACUACAGCUAGCCAAUGAUCAAGAACUGUUAAAUCAAUCUCACCAAGCAUACAAGGAAACAUGUCAAAAGAGAAGGAGUUACUUAACACUUGGAAUCUGGUCAGUGAAUAAUUUGUUACAAAAGUAUCAGAAGAAGGAAGAAAACACCUACUGAUUUCCAUGUUACAGUGUCACCAACCCAGGUUUCUGAAACAACGCAAGGAGGAUCAAGGAGAAAAACAAAAUAAUGGAAGAACAAUAUCAGGAAAUAUCUUCAAUAUACUAUUACAGCAUACAGGGAGAAAUUUCUAUUUUUGCCUUUCACAUCAAUGGUAUUUGUAGCCUAUAUUCAUCCUGUCCUUUACAGGAACUUAGCGUUUUUCAACUGAAUUCACCCUAAAAGGGCCAGGACUUUGAUCAGGACUCUAGUUACUAGUAAAAGGAUGAGCAUUUAAUUUACUAGAUAAUUAAAAUGCAGCGAACAGUAAUAUGAUGGUAGGUGCUACAUGAGAGAUAGUUUCAUUUUUUUGUCCCAGUCCCCUUCUCCCUGGAACGGCAGAGGCUGAGUGUGCUAUAGCCACACAUCCAGUUCUGUGGAAGAGGGAAGUAUUUGCAUUGCUCAAGAGUAUCCCCAUCAGUUGAAAAGAAAAGUUGAUGGAUUCCAAAAGGAAUUUCAUCCAGUCCUUGUCUAGAAGUAUGUGGCAGCAUCAUUUAUUUUGGGGGAGAGAAAGGGAACACAAGCCAAAAGGUUGGAUAGGAAAGAAAGGGAACACAAGAGAAUCCCUAGAAAUCUAGAAGGGAUUCCAAACAAUGCAGGACAGUUUUGAUCUGACUGAGUAAAAAAAAAAUUCUAUACUGUACCUCAACUGUCCAACACACAAAGUUGGAAUUUACUACUUUGGGUCAAAUUUUCAAGAGGCCUCAACCCAGUUUCAUAUCUUGGGCCUGCAAUUUUGUAAGCACAAAUUCAGAGCAUGCAAAUUCAGGGCAUGCAAAUUAGCUGUGUCUCUAAAAUCACAGCAACAAAUUUAGAGACUACUUUUGAAAACUGAAUCUUUAUUGGGAGGUGGGAGUACACCGAGUAUUUUAUUUUUCAAAGAAUUAAUACUAAAAAUAUCCUUAUGUCUAUUAUCUAACUAUCAUGGUAAAUACUACAUUUACCUAGACUGGUACAAAGAAGAUUCAUGACAUGAUAGAAUUCCCAAAGUUGCGACCUGAUCCUGCAGUGCUUACCCAGGCUAAAAAACUCCCAUUAACUUAGCUGAUGUUACAAAGCUGUAACUACAUAAUUAUGCUAUCACGUACUGUUAAAGAGCUUGAAACCAAUGACCACAUAGUAUUUACUACAGCAUUCACACUGCUGCUAUCUGUUACAGUUGUGACUCUUUGGCAAAACAUUCUUUCUUGAUAGGGUUGGAAAGUUUAGAUUCUAAAGCAAAAAGUAUUACCUUGGAUUAUUUAGAGUCUCUUCCCUCAAUUUUAAGCCACAAAAGACUUCCAGGUCCAUGAUUACUUCUGAGACAAGUACAGAUGCUUUAACAAACAUCUUAUGUUUAUAUGUUACUUUUAAAUUGUUUUGAACACCUGUAACAAUAUAACACGAGUCCUCUUUUAAUCUUCUAUUUGUGUAUAUCUGUGAUGAUUUGAAGAUGGGAUCAUGAUGGUCUUGAUUGUAGCAAAGAUUCCAGAUCAGAUGCAAACUUUAAAUAAGAUCAGCAUCAAAUACAUCAGUGCUGCAAUCUAGAAAUGGGAUGGAAUCAAAACUUUGAAUCCAUAUGUUGAGGGUCUUCAAAAUCCAACCACAGAUACAGAUCUUGAUUUUGCAAAUGAAUCCUGGUCUUUUUAGUGGAUCAAAGCAAAACUUCGCAUCUGUAAACCUCUGAGCUUUGGGACAUUCAAAAUGUGCCCAUGGAACAUUCAAAAUUUGUGGCUUGAGCCCAUCUCUAUUGUAAACACUAGUGAGAAUCACUAGCACAAAAAGUGGGAAUGUGCUAAUAAAGUUUCGGAUGACACAAAGCUGGGAGGUAUUGCCAAUACAGAGAAAGACCAGGAUAUCAUACAGGAAGAUCUGGAUGACCUUGUAAACUGGAGUAAUAGUAAUAGGACGAAAUUUAAUAGUGAAAAGUGCAAGGUCAUGCAUUUAGCGAUUAAUAACAGAAAAUUUUGUUAUAAGCUGGGUACGCAUCACUUGGAAGUAACAGAGGAGGAGAAGGACCUCGGAGUAUUGGUUGAUCACAGGAUGACUAUGAGCCGCCAAUGUGAUAUGGCCAUGAAAAAAGCUAAUGCGGCCUUGGGAUGCAUCAGGCGAGGUAUUUCCAGUAGAGAUAAGGAGAUGUUAGUACCGUUAUACAAGGCACUGGUGAGAUCUCAUCUGGAAUAUUGUGUGCAGUUCUGGCCUCCCAUGUUUACGAAGGAUGAAUUCAAACUAGAACAGGUACAGAGAAGGGCUACUAGGAUUAUCCAAGGAAUGGAAAACCUGUCUUAUGAAAGGAGACUCAAAGAGCUUGGCUUGUUUAGCCAAACCAAAAGAGGGCUGAGGGGAUAUAUGAUUUCUCUCCAUAAAUAUAUCAGAGGGAUAAAUACCAGGGAGGGAGAGGAAUUAUUUAAGCUCAGUACCAAUGUGGACACAAGAACAAAUGGAUAUAAACUGGCCACAAGGAAGUUUAGACUUGAAAUUAGAUGAAGGUUUCUAACCAUCAGAGGAGUGAAGUUCUGGAACAGCCUUCCAAGGGGAGCAGUGGGGGCGAAAAACAUAUCUGGCUUCAAGACUAAGCUUGAUAAGUUUAUGGAAGAGAUGGUAUGAUGGGAUAGCCUAAUUUUGGCAAUUAAUUGAUCUUUGACUAUUAGCAGUAAAUAUGCCCAAUGGCCUGUGAUGGGAUGUUAGAUAGGGUGAGAUCUGAGUUACUACAGAGAAUUCUUUCCUGGCUGCCUGGCUGGUGAAUCUUGCCCACAUGCUCAGGGUUUAGCUGAUCGCCAUAUUUGGGGUCGAGAAGGAAUUUUCCUCCAGGGCAGAUUGGCAGAGGCCCUGGGGGUUUUUUUGCCUGCCUCUGCAGCGUGGGGCACGGGUCACUUGCUGGAGAAUUCUCUGCACCUUGAAGUCUUUAAACCAUGAUUUGAGGACUUCAAUAGCUCAGACAUAGGCUAGGGGUUUCUUACAGGAGUGGGUGGCUGAGAUUCUGUGGCCUGCAUUGUGCAGGAGGUCAGACUAGACAAUCAUAAUGGUCCCUUCUCACCUUAAAGUCUCUGAAAAUCUAUCAAUCACUGGAUAUCUCAGUAAGAACCCUGCUUUAUGACAGCAAGAGGAAAGAUCACUGAAAAAAGUACUUAACUUGACUCUUCCUACUGAAAGAUCUCAGCUAAAUGCUCAUGCCAAGAUAAAUCUAACCCUGGUGACCUUGCAAGCACACAAUGCUUCCUGUAAUGAAUUAAUUAGCAUCAGAAAUGCAGCAGCACAGAAGUAGCAUUUCUGGCAAAUUAAUUUUAGAGAACUACAUGUAUUCUGUAAGAACGAACACCAGUCUGUAAACAAUCUCGUGUGGCAAGGCCUAUGAUGCGGGGCAAUAUAUUUACUCUAAUUAAAACAGAUGCUACUGACACCCCACAAAGAAUGGAACCUACAAGAAGGUUUCUCUGGGUGGUUGUAAUUGCCUCUACCAGUAAAAACAUGGGGCCAAAUUCUUCUACUCUUGUUCAGACAAAGCUCCCAAAGAACUCAACGGGAAUUUUGCUUGAGUAAAGAUUGUAGGAUUUGGCCCAAAGAUUGUAGGAAUGGGCAAUAUAUGCAUUCCACAAGCAAUAAUAUUGUUCUGAAGAAUCCGUAUUUUAUCUAUUUUGUUGUUUGUGACUCUGCUGUCAAGAAGAUGCAGAUAUUUAAUCCAUUGGUUUAUUGUACUGUUCACUCUAAUAGAUGAUGUUAAGGUUACAUACAGAGUAGAGACCCACUCUAUUUCCACUUGCUCUUAACUUAGAGGGAAAUUACUCUGUGGGGGUGAAACCUUACAAAUAAAAUAUAGGUGGUUUCUUAUUUUCUCUUUUCUUUUUCUUGAAAAAAACCAAGAAAAUUAAAUGCAAAUAACUAUAUGGAUGUGAUUUUUCUCUCAAAACCAGUAUAAAGCAUUAAUAACUCCACCUAACCAUAGAAGCUUACUUGGAAAAAAUAUUGAGUUUGCCCCAUAAACUGCAGUAUUCAUGUUCCAAACUGUUGUUUUGUGUAUUAAUAUUGUAGUUUAUAUAGAGCACGGGGCAUGUGUUAUACAGAAGCAUAACCAUUUGCCACAGCAGAGUGUGUGUCAAUAGUCUAUCGAUACACAGCUCCCUUAUGCAUACACCAAUACUUUACUAUUACACAUCUGUGGGGCUAAUUUCUUAACUGACUUACUUUUCUAGAAGUCUUGAACUGAGCAGCCACCUGUUAUGAGUAUAUAUUUGUGCUGAGCAGGCCUUCAAGACCAAUACAACUUAAAAUACUAGUUGCCUCACUUUCACUUUUAAUAUACACUUACCUCCCACCAACUACAAUAUUAACAGAGAAACACUGUUUCAGUUACCCCAUGUUCCACAGUAUUUCAGUCACUACUGUCUCCUUCCUGAACUCAAAGAGUAACAGAACUGCAUGUAAGGAACAAAAUGACAUAAAUUCAUCCAUCAGUCUCCAAUUAUUUCGAAUCCAAACCGUUAUAAAAAUUAUAAACAAAAGGAGGAGCUAUAAAUUUAUACAUGACAGAGAAGGUCACAACGUGCCUCUUUCCAGAAGGCAAUGUGUGUGCUAUGACUAAAACAAGAUUAGACUUCAUUCUACAAAUUACUAUGGGUACAAGAACUGAUGGGAAAGUGACAGAAGACUGAGCAUAGUAGUAAACUGGAACAUAGCUGUGGACAGUUAAAGAAAACAAAAGUUAGGAGUUGGGCCUCAAAUUUGCAGUGCUCUUGAGUCUCUCAGAGUGCUCCUAAAUAUCUCAGAAAUGCUCAAGGUCCUAUGAUAGAGGAGGGAGAGCUUGUAUUUUUUUUAAAUGAAUAUUAUAUACACACACACACCCCUCGCAAAAAAACCCAAAUAAUGCAUUCUAAUAUAUUUCACUGCAGUAGAGAGGUGGGGAAGGCAACUACACUGUGUUCCUGCUUCCCUUACACAAUGUCCCUGUCAGUUGCUUGUAUGCUACCACUGUAUAUAGCACUUUUAACUUGGUUAUGUGACUCACCUAACUUCACAGACUGAGUCAGCAAGCAGACCUAAGACUCAAGAGUUCCUGCCUUUCAUCAUCUAGCUUGCUAUUUUGUAUAAAGUUGUCCCUUUAAUAGUGUAUCAAACUAUGUGACAAGAAGAAUUUCAACCAAUCAGCCCCAGAGCACCCAAUUACAAGGGUUCUCCCUUCACAGGUGACACUGAAAUUCUGCUACAUGAUAACUGCAUCCAACCACAACACUCCUUUUUCAAAAUGGGCCAUUUCCUCAAAAAAAUAUUCACUGUUUAACACUCACACUCUCUGGCAUACACUCAUCCUAGCCAAACCCUAAAAUGUAUCAUUACUGGAAAAUCCAUGGUAGAAGCAGCAGGGGGCUUUCAUGAGAACAGAAAACAACAACAUUUUGUAAAUAUUUUUAACACUAUUUCUUAGUAUGCUUAGCUGCCUCUCAUUAUUUUCCUUAGUCAUGUAAUAGGAAUAAUGAUCAUGAUGUUGGCACUCACAGUACUUGCAAUAAGCUGCUUUUGCUGUUAUUAUAUUGCUCUGUUUAACUUCAGCAUUUAAUCAGCCACAAAAGUUGUUUACUGCUUCAUAUACUGCAGCACCACAAAUGUCAUCCCAUAAUUUAUAACUUCAGUGACCCCAUUUCCCCAUGUCUCCCCCACCUUUGCUUGUUGCUCGUACUGUAGUCAUAUAUUGCCUUGCUGGCACAGUUUAACCUAAAUUUAUUUUCCAUUCUGUAAGCUUCUUCAAAAAUCCAUCUUUGCAAGAUGAUCUUUUUAACAUGUCUAUCUAGCAAAUGCUAUCUAGUACUCCUGGGUACUGGUUAAAGAACAGGACUUUUAAAUAAUAGUUUAUUAUCCACAUAAGCCUAACUCUAUCUUUUAUCAGCUGCAUUUGAUGUACAGAACAAAUCAGGCUGACCAUUUAAAAAAGUAUUUUGGCAAUCCAUGUUCAAGAGCAAAUACACAACUCUUUUCAUGCCAGUUUUGUUCUUGCAACUGACCCACUUCUCAAAGUCUUUCACUGAAAAGUAAAGUAAUAAAAUAAAAAAUAAUAUUCAACAAUUAUUAUAGAAUUUGAGUGAUUUGUUGCACACAUUUUAAUCCAACAUGCAGACUAAGCAUUUCACCAAAAUCAAGGCUUUAGCUCUGUUGGUCCCAAUUAUGUGCAGCAGUAGUCCAAAAUACAGAAAAUUGUUACCACAUUUUAUUCUUUUUCAUGAUGAAGAAAACAGUAAGCAAUGCAACUAAACGGAGAACUUCGCAUUUCUGAAUAAUCAGUUACCUGACACAUUCUUCCCCUCACCCCCAUUUCCUGUAAAUCCUGAAAAGGAAUGCUCUGUUGUAGCUUUUCAUUUUUUCAGUUCUUCUCAAAAGAUUAUAACAAUAAUGAAAUAAAAUUCAAACUGAUUUUUUUCUCUCCUCCCUUUUGCAAAGAAUAAAAAUUUUGGUGACAUA